GCUGGGAUAGCUCAGUCGGUAGAGCAUGGGACCCUUAACCUCAAGGCCAUGGGUGCAAGCCCCACAUUGAGCA